UACGGGGGGGGGCAAGCGUUGUUCGGAAUUACUGGGCGUAAAGGGCCAGUAGGCGGCCAACUAAGUCGGAUGUGAAAUCCCCAGGCUCAACUUGGGAACUGCAUCCGAUACUGGAUGGCUUGAAUUCGGGAGAGGGAUGCAGAAUUCCAGGUGUAGCGGUGAAAUGCGUAGAUAUCUGGAGGAAUACCGGUGGCGAAGGCGGCAUCCUGGACCGACAUUGACGCUGAACGGCGAAAGCUAGGGGAGCGAAACAGGGAGUUAG
rnacentral:rRNA from 1 species